CCUUUUUUUUUUUUUUUUUUUUUAGUGCUUCUUUGUAGCAUUUGAAGCAUUAUUUUUGUAAUGCUUCUCUACAGAAGUCUGAAUGAUUUGUAGGGAGCUAUAAUACCUUUUAUUAGGCUGGCUGACCAGGGGAGGGAGAGGAGACGUGAACAAUCCUUGUAGAGGUCCCAAGAGCUGCAGUGGGAGGCACUUCCCAGUCUCUGCUCAAGAUGGAGGAAUGAAAAUCAGUUCUCUUAAGAGUUGAAUUCAGUGUUUUCUCAAACAUGUUUAGCUUUUUGCUCCGAUUGCUAUGGCGCUGUCCGUUUCGAAGAGCUCCUGAGCAAGCCGGCUCCUCUCUUCGCUGCUCUCCUCUGCCGUGUGUGCCCCAACGAGAGGGACUGGGACAUCUGCACGGCCAGUUGCUCCGCUUGGCUGAGGUGUGAGCGGUGGCCAGCACACCUUGCCCCUGGAAAUGAUGUCAGCUGCGUGCGUUUUACAUUUUGAUAAGCAGAAUCGGGAUGAGGGUGAAAGAAAGAAAUACUGAAGAAAUACACUAGUGUGUUUUGAAAUAUGUUGACCACCUGUAAUAUUGUCUUUCUCUUAUCACAGAAACCAGCCUGCACACUACAGUUGUACAGCUGCGUGGUUAGCUAGAAUAUCCCGGGAUUUAUGGAAACUAGUUCAAUUGUUCCCUCCCUUCACUUCUGGCUGCCGAUGGGUGAAGUUUACUGCUGGCAGUUAACAUUGCUUGCAUGCCAUUUGUCUGAUACCAAUGGCAAAGUUUAGACUUCAGGUGAUGCAGCUGCUUUCACACUUCUGCUCCCUUCCAGGUGUUGGUCAGUCUUUCACUACUUCCGUAUGAUUUUUUUUUUUUAUUUGUAUUUGGUACUCGUAAAGGCCACAACCCCAAUUUGAGGAUUUAUCUGCAGUACUUGUCCCCCAGAGAGUUUGCUGUUGCAUGGACAGGUGAGCAGUGAAUAGGGCAGGGAUGAAAUUCCUUUAGUUUUACAGGUGGGGGUCUGAGGCAUAGGGAAAGUAACUCUUCAACAAGCUGGCCAAGAAUACUGGGGCCAGCCUUUUAGAAAUAGGGCAGUGAGGAAGAGUUGCAGCUGAAUGUGAUCAAUAGUGUAAUCAUCUAGCUUCUUUCUGCAGUGGUGAAGCGCAGUGUUUCAAACUUUCAGAUGCUGUCACUUCCAUCUGACUGCCUUGUGACCACCCUGUAUUGAUGUACAGCUGUGCUAACUUGUAGUUGUCUGGACACCCAUGUGUUACCUAUGAUUUUUUGUUCUGCUAUCAUGGAAAUGGAUCUCAGAGUUUAAAUUGGAUUAACUAUCAGUUCUUGGAUUUGAAUGUUUUUGUGUUUACUGUUGACAGUGCCAGUAACUGUUAUUCUGAAACACUGUGACUCAGUGGAGUCAGUGCUUCGUUCUGAAAUCUUUAACUGAAAUGUUUCAUUACAAUUUCCAAAGCUUACCUGCAAUGUUUUGUUUCUGAACAGCACAGCUAUUACAUGCCACUUCAUGUGGUGUGUUACUCUGUAGGAGUGUGAGUUGGGAGACAACCAUCCUUGUUCUUCAUGUAUGAUCGGGCCCUAGACCAGACUGUGUCUCCCAUGGGGCACCACAGAUCAGCGGGUGCGUGGUUGGGGUGCAGGACCAGAGCCUGGAUUUGCCAGCCUCUCUUGAAUUACAGCUGUGAGACUGAUUGGAGAAAUGCAUCUCAAUGUAUGGACAAUGCCUGAGCAAAGUAUUUUACACUUUCCAAGUAUCACCUUACCUUAUUUUAACAUUUUUACAGCAACUACAUUUUUCAUUGGAAAAUGUUCCUAGUACUUCUGCAUAGUCCCUACAGAGCUAUGAGAGCUUGCCCCUGUUAUAGAAGUAGAUAUCCUUCCCAUUUUGAAAGGAGAAUAUAAAAUGUCAUAAUUGAAAUCCUGGUAUUGAUGUACUAAGUACAAAAAUGUCUUAGGUCAAUAAGUGUGGAUUCAGAACUGUAACACUCUCAAACUGUUUCUUGUUGUGCACAGAAAGGACUCAAAAUGACAUUUUUAUCAGUCAGUGAAAGCUUAGUUUAAUUGGCUGCAGUCAAGAUUCUGUAUUGUUCUGCGUAAUCUGAAUUAAACAUUGGUUUGACUGCA